rnacentral:lncRNA from 1 species
AUGAUUACCACCACAUAUACACACCAGGUAUGACAGUUACGUAUUUUUCCAGACGAGUUGAUCAUUUUCCCUUUAACCGGCGGGACCCACUCCAUUCUACAACUUUUCAUUUAUUGUUGUAACUAAAUUAUUUAACCCACAAAUUAUUUUCUCAUGACCAGAAAUAUAAAAAUAUAGUAUUUUUCUCAAAUAUUUGUUUUAUCUGUUAGCUAAAAAUACAGACCAUGGUCCAUACCUAAUUGACAUUGUUACUAUUUAUUUAAUAAAUAGAGAACAUGUCUACGUAUGUAUAACAACAUUUCAAAUCUAUAAAUUUGCUGGUAACGUCAAAUCAGCCU